rnacentral:lncRNA from 1 species
UUUUUUUUUUCCCAAAUGUUCGGGGCGUUGUUUGGUUCUUUCCUUCCAGGUGUUAUUGACUGUCCAUGUCGGGGGUUGGUUGGUUCUUUCCUCAGGUGUUAUUGACUCAUGUCGGGGCGUUUGGUUCUUUCCUCAGGUGUUAUUGACUGUCAUGUCGGUGUGUUUUGGUUCUUUCCUCAGGUGUUAUUGACUGUCAUGUGGGGGUUGGUUCUUUCCUCAGGUUUAUUGACUGUAUGUCGGGGCGUUGUUUGGUUCUUUCCUCAGGUGUUAUUGACUGUCAUGUGGGGAGUUUGGUUCUUUCCUCAGGUUUUAUUGACUGUAUGUCGGGGCGUUGUUUGCGUUUCUUGUUUAUGUACCGUUUCUUUAUUAAACACUCCCUGUAGUUGCAUCCCGACUCUCAGAGUUCAUGUUUACACGCGCCCUCUCAGCUGGUGUGGGACCUCACAACCAAGCUGCAACCCGCACUGCUCAAAAGAAACAAUUACAAUA